rnacentral:rRNA from 1 species
CCUACGGGAGGCAGCAGUGAGGAAUAUUGGACAAUGGGCGCAAGCCUGAUCCAGCCAUGCCGCGUGCAGGAAGACGGUCCUAUGGAUUGUAAACUGCUUUUGUACGGGAAGAAACACUCCUACGUGUAGGAGCUUGACGGUACCGUAAGAAUAAGGAUCGGCUAACUCCGUGCCAGCAGCCGCGGUAAUACGGAGGAUCCAAGCGUUAUCCGGAAUCAUUGGGUUUAAAGGGUCCGUAGGCGGUUUAGUAAGUCAGUGGUGAAAGCCCAUCGCUCAACGAUGGAACGGCCAUUGAUACUGCUAGACUUGAAUUACUAGGAAGUAACUAGAAUAUGUAGUGUAGCGGUGAAAUGCUUAGAUAUUACAUGGAAUACCAAUUGCGAAGGCAGGUUACUACUAGUGGAUUGACGCUGAUGGACGAAAGCGUGGGGAGCGAACAGGAUUAGAUACCCUGGUAGUCCACGCCGUAAACGAUGGAUACUAGCUGUUCGGGGCAACCUGAGUGGCUAAGCGAAAGUGAUAAGUAUCCACCUGGGGAGUACGUUCGCAAGAAUGAAACUUAAAGAAGUAGUAGGCGUGAGACGUGCGACGGAGACACAGGGAGGUUAGG